GUCUUUUUGAGUUAUUUUUAAAGUCUGACCUGCCCACUGAAUUAGUUUAAAUGGCCGCAGUAUUCUAACUGUGCAAAGGUAGCAUAAUCAUUAGUCUUUUAAUUGAAGGCUGGUAUGAACGGUUGGACGAGGUAUAAGCUGUUUCAUAUAAAUUUAUAAUAGAAUUUUAUAUUUUAGUCAAAAAGCUAAAAUUUAAUUAAAAGACGAGAAGACCCUAUAAAUCUUUAUAUUUUGUGUUAUUUAAAUUUUUUAGAUUUAUUUUAUUUUUAUAGUAUAAAAUAUUUUGUUGGGGUGAUGUUAAAAUUUAAUGAACUUUUAAUUAUUUAAAAUCAUUAAUUUAUGUUUUAUUGAUCCAUUAAUAGUGAUUAUAAGAUUAAGUUACUUUAGGGAUAACAGCGUAAUUUUUUUGGAGAGUUCAUAUCGAUAAAAAAGUUUGCGACCUCGAUGUUGGAUUAAGAUAUAAUUUUAGGUGUAGCCGCUUAAAUUUUAAGUCUGUUCGACUUUUAAAUUCUU
rnacentral:rRNA from 1 species